UACGUAGGGGGCAAGCGUUAUCCGGAUUUACUGGGUGUAAAGGGAGCGCAGACGGAAUGACAAGUCAGAAGUGAAAGCCCGGGGCUCAACCCCGUGGAUUGCUUUUGAAACUGUUAAUCUAGAGUGCAGGAGAGGCAAGUGGAAUUCCUAGUGUAGCGGUGAAAUGCGUAGAUAUUAGGAGGAACACCAGUGGCGAAGGCGACUUGCUGGACUGUAACUGACGUUGAGGCUCGAAAGCGUGGGGAGCAAACAGG
rnacentral:rRNA from 1 species